AUUGAACGCUGGCGGCAGGCCUAACACAUGCAAGUCGAGCGAGCGGCGGACGGGUGAGUAAUGUAUGGGGACUGCCCGAUAGAGGGGGAGAACUCCUGUAAACGGUAGCUAAUACCGCAUACUAUCGGAUAACCCAUAUGGGAUUAGCUAGUAGGUGGGGUAAUGGCUCACCUAGGCGACGAUCCCUAGCUGGUCUGAGAGGAUGAGCAGCCACACUGGGACUGAGACACGGCCCAGACUCCUACGGAGGCAGCAGUGGGGAAUAUUGCACAAUGGGCGCAAGCCUGAUGCAGCCAUGCCGCGUGUAUGAAGAAGGCCCUAGGGUUGUAAAGUACUUUCAGUCGGGAGGCGUUACCCGCAGAAGAAGCACCGGCUAACUCCGUGCCAGCAGCCGCGGUAAUAC
rnacentral:rRNA from 1 species